CUCUAAAGACUCCUUUCUCAUUUUCAACAGUUCUUUCAUCACUUGUGCAUCUCGCUUCUUUUCUCAGGUCGGCUGGCCAUGGAGGAGUACUCUGAUGGGGAAUUUUCGACAGUGCAGGUGAAUGUGAGGUUUGUGAGGCGCUAUGGCUUCUACCUCCUCACCCUGUACAUCCCCACCACCCUGCUCAUGGUCAUCGCCUAUGCAACGUUCUUCUUCAACGUUGACGACUUCAACUCCCGUAUUGUAGUCGCACUGACAGCCCUGUUUGUCCUCUCCUCGCUCUUCACUCAGACCUCCAACUCACUGCCCAAGACUUCAUACUUCAAGCUGGUUGAUAUUUGGCUCUUCUUCUCCAUCGUUAUCAUCUUUCUGGUGUCAUGCUGCAGACACUCAUUGACUACGCACUUGGCAACACCUGGCUCACAAAAUGCCUCUCUAGCUCCUCAUCAUCAAGAACAACAGUGGUGCAAGUCAGUUUUUAUUUCUGUUUAAUGUCAUCAAAACUUCCCUUCCCAUCCUGCCAGGAGGUACUCAGGAUGGGAAAGGGGCCUGCAUGGAGACUCGCCCGGAAGGACCCUUGGAUUUGGCGUCAUAGGGUAGGCAAGGCGACACGCCUCCUGGCGUAUGCCUUCAUUGAUUGACUGAUCAAAAACUUUUUUGCUACUUGUCAUCUCAGCUUGCUAUCUAAGCAGUCACAGGCAACCUCUAAUAUCUAAUUCCAUUACUUAUGGGUAUUGCUUUCCUUGUCUCAAUAAUAUAACAAUAAUGGUUUAGGCACAAUACUAUUUUUGUGAGAUGCAUACCACCCAGACUAAUAACAACCUUGUGAUUAUGAACUAAGUGUAUCAACCAUCACACUAUCAGCCUUCUAGUAUUGAUCUUUUUUUUCAAGUACUGUUUUGUAUGCUUCAGAAAGGUACUUUGUUUCAACACCCCCACCUGAUGUAUACUAAAUAUUAAUGCUAGUGUUGCACUGUAAAAAGAUAGACACAGUACGUUUCAGCCUAUGCAUCAGUAGGCAUUCUUGGUGGGGCCUGAUGAUUGAACCCAGCCCAUUGUAGAUCAGGCAAGUGUUUAUGGUGGCGCCAUCUUGAUUGGCUCAUGUUGCCCGUCAGAGCUCAUCUUUGAGCCUCUCUUUAGAGAGAGAGAAUCUGGAGUCAGGAUUCAAAGGUGGUCUUCAGGACAGAAUGUGGGUAGUCUUAGGCCACUCAGCAGUGACUGAAAAAUCCCAGCUGUGGCAGCGUGCAGGAUUCAAACAAGUGUCCAUUUGGAUGUAGCUACCCAUUCAUCCACCACCUCCCCAUGGAGGUGCUGCAGACAUUGCACCACUAAACUUACAGCAAUUAAAGCAGUUGAAGACUGAUGAUUUUUCAGAUUAUGCAGUGAGCCAGUUCAUAAAGCAGUUCAAUACACAGUAUUUAUAGGUGUUAGAAAAGAACCCAUACUUACUAACAUCGUCAUAUGCUCAUGAUUUACGUGUGCAAUGUCUCCCAUUACCACAACAAAUUACUGUCCCACCCCAUUUUGAAUUGCAAGAUGAACCUCUGCCUGCAAGAUGUGCAAUGUGAGAAGUCUAAGAUGAGCCUCUGCUUUAUGUACGUUUACGUCACAGUUCGCAGACCCACUUGUCUUGCAGCACCCUUUGGGUAGAGGUAUACAUCAAUCUUGGAUUAGAAGGUAACAGCCUUACUAAGUGAUCCUCAGGAAAACAUGUAAAGAAUGAUUAUGGAACUCCAGAAAGAAUCUGAGGGUAAGUCCGAAGAUGAAUAUAAAGAAAAUUAAAGUAAUUUUUCAUAAUCAGUUGGCAGGACAACAAAUAAUGAUUAGGAAUGAAAUACUUAAUAGAUUAAAGGAAAAAAUAUGUAUACAUCAAGGAUAAACAACCAGAGCAAAACCAGCCAUGAAAAAGAAAUCAGAAAGAAAAAAAAAAAAUUGGAUGGAGUGCUUUCGGUAAGCAUAGUACUAUCAUGAAUAGCUACUUGUCACUCUCUCUUUGAAGGGAAAAGUGUAGUCAGCAUAUCUUGUCAGACCUGACAUAAAGUUCAGAAACUUGGCUCCUCACAAGAUUUAGUAGGAGGCUACGAAGUGCACAAAGGAAUGGAGAGGAAUAGGCUGGGUAUAACAUGGAGAAACAGGAAGCAAAUGUAAUCAAUUAAAGAACAGACAAAGGUUGAAGAUAUAUAAGGACUAUUAAGAAUAAGAAAUAGACUUGAGCAGGUCGUAUCAUACGUAGAUCCGAUAACAGAUAGAAAACCAAAGUAACAGAGUGGCAACCAAGGAAUUGUAGAAAUCAGGGCAGACAGAGAACCAGGUGGAAAAAUAAGAUUAGAGCAUUUGCUGAAGCAGAAUGGUAUAUGCCAACAUCAGACAGAGAGGUGGAGAAUGUUGGGAAGGGCCUUUGUAUUGCAGGGGACUUUUAAUAGCUAAAGAUGAUGAUGAUGAUGGUGGAAGAUAUGCCAUUAACAAAAUCAGUCUUCUUUUAGCACUUUUGAUGCUGGUGUUCUGGUGCUGAGGAAGGAUCCAGUGGUGCAGAGGGAGUUUUCUGGCCUUGCUGCACCCAGGUCACCAAGGAAAAGCAACAUGGUCAUGAUGAAGCUGGGCCGCAUCAUAGUUCCUGUCAUUUUCUUCAUCUUCAACCUGGCCUACUGGGGUUCAGCCCUUUCGUAAGUCUGCUGCUUAGGUGGUAACCAUGACAGUUGUAUAUACAGACUGAAUGGUAUGGUGAACGAGUCGAAGCAUGAAAGUGAUUGUAGGUGAGUGUGGAUGGGUAAAUGACAUAUUAAAUGGUUUGGAUAUUGAAAUGAAUGAAUUAUUAUAUUGCUUUUGUAGUAACAAACUUCCUACCCUUUACAGGCACUUGGCCAACCUGGAUACAUAAACAUUGCAAGAAAGGACAUAUCCACAAAAAAAUAUAUAUAUAAAAAAAUCAGUAACAAGCUACUAUUUGUUAACUCCUGCAGGUCAAGUGCAUUGAAUCUUAAUCACCUGUAAUAGGAACUGUAUCUCAUUUAGUUGCCUCUUACAUCAUAAACUGGAAGAUGGGAACAUACUACUCGUAUGUUUUAAUCCACGUCUUAGGGAUGAACUGUUUUUCUGUAUCACAGUCACUGAUUAACAAACAUCAACUGCUGACAUUAGUCAGUGUACAUAUAUGAAGGGUCAACAUACAAUAAUGAAUAUGCUGUUUAUUUACAUUUACAUCAACAGUCCCCUUUAUGCGCUUAAAUUAUAUACAUUAAUACAAUAUCGUAUCUAGUGAUAUUUACACUGCUUGCUCUAAUACAAAAAUAAUAUUAUUGUACAGUCUUCUAUUAUAUAUAUUCCCCUUUACCUGUAAAGGUAAGGCUCUAGCACUAUAGUUUAUGGUCCAGUGCAGCUCUAUCAUGUUGCACACCACAAACCAAAAUGAACAAAACAUUUUAAAAUGCAAUUCUUCUAGAAUAAAAAAUUAUUAUUACACAAUUACACAACUAAGGAACUGUUCCUUCAUUUUUUAAGAAUUGUUAAGAAUGGUAAUAUAUCAUAUAUAAGGGAAAUGUGGUUUCCUCAGUUACUUACUCAGUAUAUGAGUAGUGAAAGAGUAAUACUUGAGAACAGCAUUUGAAGGAGAUGCAAACAUAUAGUCUCUACUAAAUUCUGCUAUAAAAAUAAAAUUUCAUAAAAUUCGGUAAUCUAAUAAACUAGUGUUGAGAAGAAAAAUGCACCCAAUGUAACAAAACUAUCUGCAACACAUCAGCACAGUAGCUGCCAGGAUCUCGGAACACCUGCCAGAACCACUCACAUUUCUGAAUAUUUUACUUUGUGUGUGGUUGGUCCAAUGGAUUCCUAUUACUUUUAUAUUAUUAUCAUGUGAUCUACAACCUUUAUGUUCACUCUGCUCACAAUUAAGAGUAGUGUAAGCUGCAUGUAUGAAAGACUACAAUUUGCCAUAUUCCACUGUCUGAUCUACUGAUCUUACUGUUACUAAAGAGCUAACUCUUCUAGCACUCAUCAUGAUGAAAAUACUUAGUGAAUGAAUCUACCUCCUGAACAAGUUUCUCUUUCUAACCAGUUUUGCAGUCUCUUCAAAACUUUGUUUUUUAGGCUACAAAAUACUACUUGAAAAGUAGGAUGCCAAUACUAUUAUAUAAACAGUCUGUUAGAAAAUUGAUUUAAAUCAUCACUGACUACUCAUAAUUAAGUAUUGUGCUAAAGUUGGUGCUCCAGAUUUUGAGUUUUGACUGUAAUGUUCAUAAUACUGAUUUUUUUUAUUCAAGUUCUUGAAAAAAAAAAAGAA